GAGAAGAACGCAGCGAAAUGCGAUAAGUAAUGUGAAUUGCAGAAUUCAGUGAAUCAUCGAAUCUUUGAACGCACAUUGCGCCCCCUGGUAUUCCGGGGGGCAUGCCUGUCCGAGCGUCAUUACAACCCUCAAGCUCAGCUUGGUGUUGGGCCCCGCCGCCCCGGCGGGCCCUAAAGUCAGUGGCGGUGCCGUCCGGCUCCGAGCGUAGUAAUUCUUCUCGCUCUGGAGGCCCGGUCGUGUGCUCGCCAGCAACCCCCAAUUUUUUUCAGGUUGACCUCGGAUCAGGUAGGGAUACCCGCUGAACUUAAGCAUAUCAAUAAGCGGAGGA
rnacentral:misc_RNA from 1 species